rnacentral:lncRNA from 1 species
GAUUAUGGUUUGUGUUGGGAGGGCUUGUGGGGGUUGAUUUCUGGAAUUAGGGGUGGAAGUGAUUUGUGUUCUCUUACUCCUUGAAGAUUGUAAGCAUGUUGGUUUUGUGGAGGAGUGCUGUCUCCAUUUUGCUCACUGCGUCUGGUGGGUGGGUUCAAUAGUCACGUCUUAGGGUGCAAUUGGAACGUGCUGUUGAACCGGCUCGUGGGUUUGGUGGUUUUGGUGGGUUGGUGACGUUCUUGGGAAAAGCUACUUUGUUGGUGUUAUUCUGGGUUUGGGUUCUGUUUGUUCUGCUGUUAUGUGGUCAUUUAGGUGUUUCUUUUCUGUUGUUUUGGGUGGGAUUGCGAUGGAUUGAGUCCCUUAGAGGUAUGUAUGGGGGAUGUACUUCACAGUGUGAUAUUUGAGAAUGAACCCAUGACCUGGUCUGCCGAGCCUGUGGUGUAAGCUGGGCCAAUUGGAAUGAAUACGUCUUGAGACUUGCCAGUUGCUUCCUUUGGGUGGUUUGGUUUAUGUCAAAUGGUGAUGAUAUGUUGCAACAACAGUAUUCCGCCCUGGAUAUUUGUUGCCGAACUCUGACCUGGUCUUUUAACCAUUAGAAGCUUUACCUCAACUUGCUUGUGCUUUGUAGUAUUAGGAUUUCUUUGCAUGUUUUGGAGCUAAGCGACAGGACUGAUGGACUCUUCCUUUUUCGAGCUUCUGCUGGUUGAUGAUUGCUCUUAGUUUGGCGGAACAAAGCUGCAGAGUGUGAUUUGAACAUCACAAACUAACUUAAUGCUGCUUUUGACGAAAUUAGUUUGUGCAAGGGUCACAGUCAUUUCCUAUUCUUGCAAUUGCUGUUCAAUGUUUUUGUUCUCUUUUCUAUAUUUUUGAAUUUCUG